CUGGCUCACUCUUGAAUUCCUUCCUGAGUGAAGCCUAAAACCUGCCCUACAUGACUUCUGCUAUACAUUUCAUCUCCGGACUGUUUGUGGCAAAUUGAUUGAAAUUAAGGUUAUUAAAGAACUGGACCCUCCGUUAUGAAACGUCUCAAAGUAGCACUGUAAUUCCUCUCUUACGUAUGGCAACUGGCAAUGUUAAACAUCAGGACUGUCUCCAUAUUGCAUUUUAUGGAUGCAGGCAGAAGACACAAGACUCCUGGGUCAGAGACAAAGGGCAUUAUUUCUCAGGACACAGGAAGCAUCAUGAG